rnacentral:misc_RNA from 1 species
AACAAGGCGUACCUGCGGACCUGCGGAGGGAUCAUUACAGAGUUGCAAAACUCCCUAAACCAUUGUGAACCUACCUUCUACCGUUGCUUCGGCGGGCGGGCCUAGCGCCCCCCCGGCCCCCCGCGGGCGCCCGCCGGAGGAUAACCAAACUCUUGACAUCAGUGGCCUCUCUGAGUAUUCUUUACUGAAUAAGUCAAAACUUUCAACAACGGAUCU